GCAUACCUGUCUUCGGUGACCCUGCUCAAAAUCUUUCUCCCACCAGCUCUUGAAAGGGGAAGUGCGGCCAAGCAUGUGACCCUGGAUAGGGCCUCCUGACAUUCGAUCUUUGUUCAUUUUGCCACUUGAUGCCCACGACACAGCGAGGCACUUGGAAUGUGACAGGUAGAUGCUGUGUGAGUCAUGUGCUGGGAUCAGCUGCAGCUUUUCUGAAGGCAGUCUUAGGGAGAAUGGAGGCAGGAGUUUUAAAGGUCAUAAAAAUUUCAAGCGAAAGAGAUGCUCCAAAUCUCUUAGAAAAAAUUGUCAACAGAAAAGAAAGGAAAUAAAGCCUGGGAGACAGAGUGAGACUCUGUCUCAAGAAACCAAAAAAAAAGAAAGAAAUCAGAGGAAUUG
rnacentral:lncRNA from 10 species